AAGGCAACAAUUUACUCAUUGGUUACUGUUAUCCUCAGCCAUCCUCAAACUUGUAAGAAUGUAUAUCUGACAUCUCAUUUGUUAUAACUCCCUCCUACACUCAAAAUAUGAACCAUUAUUUCAUUUCACUUUCUUGAAGAUUCAAUUUCUAGCCCAAGUGAUAGGUUUUAAACUGUUCACGAAUUCAUUAGGUGAUUAUGAAUCACCUAAAUGAAGGAGGAAAGGUUACUGAGAAAAGGAAGGAUUAAGUGUCCCAAGCCUUCCUUCCUUUUUAGUUCUUAGUUUAGAGAGAGAGAGAGAGAGAGAGAGAGAGAUGGAGGGAGAGAGAAAUAUCUGAAAAUCGUUGUUCUAGCACUUUAUACCUGGUUGACAAAUGUAUAAACAUGAUUAAAAUGAGAAGCUUAUAGUUUCAGGGGCACCUGCAUGGCUCAAUUGGUUAAGCAUCCAACUUCAGUUCAGGUCAUGAUCUCACAGUUCAUGGGUUUGAGCCCCACAUCAGGGCUCAGCUGUGCUGACAGCUCAGAGCCUGGGGCCUGCUUCAGAUUCUGUGUCUUCCUCUCUGCCCCUUCCCCACUUGUGCUCUGUCCCUCUAUCUCUCUCUUUCUCAAAAAUAAAUGAACAUUAAAAAAUUUAAAAAUAAAAGAAGCUUGUAGUUUCAAAUACUAAAUUAUAAAUUCUAGGAACAUAAUAUAAAAGUGAAUUGGAUUUCAGCUUAUGUGUUUCAAUUUCAAGAUUUAUUGUUGACUUGUUUUUCAACUAAGAUGCUUUCAACUUUUGAGAAUUUAAAUGAGUUCAACCUUAAAAAUCCCCCCAAACAACUUGGAAUUCAUAUGGAGCUCAUAGCAACAGAUUUCUUUUCAAUUUGAUGCUUAAUGUACAUACAGUGGAAAAUAACGCAGUUGACUUUAGUAAUCUAUUGUUUUGUUUGUAGUGAUUUAUUUUUUCUGUGUUCAAGUUCAGUUGAUACUGGGAUUGCAUUUAGAGACAUUCAAAAUGGUUUUCUUUCAUCAGUCUAAAUGCUAAGUUUCUUUUGUUUUGAUUGUGAUCAAAUCUUAUUUAUUUUACUCUAGGAAAUAAUCAUUGCUCAGCAACUCAAAUUUAAUUGAAUGUAUAAAUAUGAAUUUCCAGUUCACUUAAGAGAUUAUCAAGGUGUUUUUCCAAUAGGAAAGUACAAUCGUCAUUCAAGGAAGCAAUUAAAGUGUGUAUGAAUUUUAUGAUGUGUCCCAAAUCAUACAGUGACUGUCAAAAUGAAAAAAGGAACUGGAGACUCUUAACAACUAGUAUGUAUUUUCACCACGGUGUUCCUUCUUCUGUACAUAAAAACUUUGACAAUACAAGUAUCAGAAAUUGACAUCAUGAAGAAUUAAGUGCUGUUGAUCAUUACUAAUUGUAGCAGUUGGAUUAUUUGAAUCACUUGAUUGACCGAAACAAACCCCUAGGGCAUUACUAUUCUUUCUUGAUGCUCAUUUCCUAUCCUAAGCAGAAUAUUUUUCCCUAUGCCAUUCCAAAUGCAUUAUACCAACAAACACAGCAAGGCAAAGUUCAGGGCCUCUGCAACCAAGGUGGUUCUACACACUUCUUGGACUUACUGAAAGUGUCUUGUAAUGGUGUUCCUUCAUUAGUUGCUAAAUUUAUCACUUACAAAAUAAUAUUUUAAGGAAACAGCCACAUUGAUCCAAGUAAAUACAACUAGAAAUCUUUAGGGAAAAAUAUAGAAAUGGAUUUUCUUUCUGACUUGGAAUAUAAACCAAGCUGUAUGAAGAACUAAAUAUUUAUGUUUUUUUAUAUUUUUGAUCAAUUUUCAUUAAGAAACUCUCUUUGGUCUUCAAAUGGAAAGGAUCAAGCAACCCUAGGCUAUUUGCCAAGCAUGAUAGAGGAACAAAAUAUAUAAAUAUAGUUCAGGCACUGUGCCUCCAGUUGCAUGUUUACUAACAUAAAUUCAGAGAGAAUUAUUUAAUCAUUUGUUUGCAAGGCAUCUUCAAAUGAGUGAUUUAAGGUACAUGGCCUAAAGGUUUUGAGGAAUUGUCUCA